rnacentral:rRNA from 1 species
AUUAAAAAUUAUUUAAUUUUUUUAGAAAAUAAAUAGAUUUAAAUAAAUAUAUAGAAAUAUGAAAAUUUUAGUAUUAAUUAGAAAAAAUAAAUUAUAAUUAUUUAAUUGUAAAAGAAUUUUAAAAUUUAUUAAAGAAAAUUUAAUUUAUUGUACCUUUUGUAUCAGGGAUUAUUAAAUUUGAGUGUUAGAAUAAAUAUUUCUCGAAUUAAAAAGAGUUAAUUUAAUAUUAUAGUUAGUGUGGAAAAAUUAUUAUAAAUAUUAGAUUUGAAGUGAAAUGUUAAUCGAUUUUUAAGAUAUCUAGUUUUUUAAUAUAAAAAUUUAAUUUUUUUAUAAAUUUAAUUAUAGAUUAUUUAAAAAUUUAUAAUUAUUUUAUAAUAAAUAAUUUAUGGGAUUAUCUAUAAAUUUAUAUUAAAUAAUUUUAAAAUUAAUUUAAAAUUUAGAGAUUAAAAUUUUUAAAAUUUAAGAGUUUAUAAUAAUUUAUUAAAUUAUAAAAUUUAAUUUUAAAAUUUAUUAAUUAAUUAUUAAAAUAAAUUUAUAAAUUUAAUAAAAUUUAUAAUAAUGAUAAUAUAAGUAUAAAAAUAUGUUAAAUUUAUAAAAUUUUUAAAUUAAUUUAAGGAAUUAAGCAAACUAAAAGUUCACUUGUUUAUCAAAAACAUGUUUUUUUGAUAUUAAUAAAAAAUUUUCUCUGCCCAAUGAUGAAUUAAAUGGCCGCAGUAUUUUGACUGUGCAAAGGUAGCAUAAUAAAUAGUUUUUUAAUUGAAGACUUGAAUGAAUGAGAGGAUGAAAUUUUAACUGUCUCAAUUUAAUUAUAGAAUUUUAUUUUAAGUUAAAAUUCUUAAAUUAAUUUAAGGGACGAGAAGACCCUAUAGAAUUUAAAAAUUUAAAUUAAUUUAAGAAUUAAUAUUAUUUUUUGUUUGAUUAAAAAUUUUUUUAUUGGGAUGAUAUUAAAAUUUAAAUAACUUUUAAUUGUUUAAUUCAAUAAUUAAUGAAUUAUAGAAUAUUAAUAUUAAUAAAAAGAUAAAAUUACCUUAGGGAUAACAGCGUAAUAAAUUUUUAAAGUUCAAAUUAAAAAAUUUGAUUGCGACCUCGAUGUUGAAUUAAAAUAAAAUUUAAGUGAAGAAGCUUAAGAUUUAAGUCUGUUCGACUUUUAAAAUUUUACAUGAUUUG